rnacentral:rRNA from 1 species
CCUACGGGAGGCAGCAGUGAGGAAUCUUGGUCAAUGGGCGCGAGCCUGAACCAGCCAAGUAGCGUGAAUGAUGACUGCCCUACGGGUUGUAAACUUCUUUUAUAAAGGAAUAAAGUGAGGCACGUGUGCCUUUUUGUAUGUACUUUAUGAAUAAGGAUCGGCUAACUCCGUGCCAGCAGCCGCGGUAAUACGGAGGAUCCGAGCGUUAUCCGGAUUGAUUGUGUUUAAAGGGAGCGUAGAUGGGGUGUUAAGUCCGUUGUGAAAGUUUACGGCUCAACCGUAAAAGUGCAAUUGAUACUGGCAGUCUUGAGUACAGUUGAGGUAGGCGGAAUUCGUGGUGUAGCGGUGAAAUGCUUAGAUAUCACGAAGAACUCCGAUUGCGAAGGCAGCUUACCAAGCUACUUCUGACGUUGAGGCACGAAAGCGUGGGGAGCAAACAGGAUUAGAUACCCGAGUAGUC